AUGAUCUUAUGGAUGCUCGCGUUACGUUUGCAUGCGCAGCGACAAUCUCCCUUUCGUACUGAAGACGCCACCGAGAAGUUCGGUUUGGAAUCUAGCAACACAAUGGCACCAAUUAAGAAGUCG